CACCGACAUCAUCUUAGUAACUUGUGCAUGCAGUGACUCUGGAGGCCAGAAGAGGACAUCAGAUCCCCUAGAAUUGGAAUCCUGGAUGGUUGUGAGCUGGGAUGUGACGCUGGAAACUGAAUUCAAAUCCUCAGAGAAGAACAGCAAGUGCUCUUAACCUUGAGUCAUUUCUCCAGCCCCUCAAAGGAAGACUUUUGUUCUCGCUGAGGAUCUGGGAAGAGCACUUUGCAAGUAAUUCUGCUGCUUUCUGUGGUAAAAACUCAAGAAGACUGGUCAAAAAAAUAAACUUAAAGGUGUCACCAUCUACAAAGUAUCCAGUUUUAAAACAAGAACGGGUUUACCUUUCAAGAAACAGGCAUCUUCGUGACGGCACCGUGGAUGGCCAUUGGCAGUAUCGGCAUUUCUAGACAAGCAAACUAAAUCCAGGACCUUCAUCUGGGAAGAGCCUUGGUUACAUGGCUCUGAGUCACCUCAGAGCCCAUAUGGCCUCCAGGAAAAGUGACUGUGCUGUGUGGAUUCAGCCUCUCCUUGGUCACUGGAAUCAGGCUGGUCAGCUGGAGAGAGCAGAUGUGUCGGACCAGUUCUGCUGGGGAGCUUCAGUCCAUCAUUCUUAAAUCUAUAAAGUAAGUAUUAAGGACCGGGAAGAGGGCUCAGUGGUUAGAGCAUUGCUGUCACUGGGCAGCCAUACUGAUCCGAGUGAUCUGCGCUGUCACCUGAGACCAUGGUGAUGUUCAGGCCGUGCUGUCACUGAAGACCGUGUCUGGGUCAGGAGUCCUACAGCAGCCAGGGUCCAUGUCAAUGUCCGAGGCCUGUGUUAACUGCUGAAGGCCAGGCAGGUGUUUGUGUUCUAUGCUGCAGCCUGAAGCCAUGCCCACACGCCGGGGACCAUAUUGGUAUGAGUAGACAAGACUAUCAGCCAAGGCCAUGUUGGUAUCUGUGGUACAGCUGCUAGUGAGGAGGGCCUUGUCUGGGUCUGUGGUCCUACUACAACUGGGGGCCAUGUUCAUGGUCUAUGCCAUCACCAGAAAACAUGCAGAAGCCCAUGAUCUGAGAGUUGCAGCUGUGUAAAGUACAAGGAAGCUACUUUGGCAGUGAUAUUGGUGAAGCAGAAUGGAAGUCAUGGAAGAUAUCUGUGACAACUCCUCCCCUCCCAGCACCUCCCCACAAAG
rnacentral:sRNA from 1 species